AGCUGAGGCCUAGACCCGCCCUCAGCACUACCGACACUAAAAGACUCGCAGCUAGUGGUAGUGUUAUUGCUCAGCCCCGCCUAACUCAAACUGUGCUACCGCCCUCCUCAUGAAAUCGCCAUUAUCGUCGUCAACCUUUCACCCAGUUCCUUCUCUUCCCGCCCGCUCUCCUGCUAUCUGGACUUUGUUGAAUUAAAUUUAACGGAAUACCCAGGAUUAAUCGUCAAUGCAACAUCACAAGAAACAAGUCACGCAGUUGCCUGAAUAAAAUGGCCUCAGUGAAGAAUAAAAAUAAGUGACAAUUGCUGCUGCUGCUGAUAAAUUUGGAUUUGCAAUAAGCUAAGGGAAGAAAUUUAGAGAUGAGUAAAGUUCAGAGAGCCGGUGUAACAGGUUCUCAAGCCUCGCUAACAGGCUAGAUUAUCAGGAUUACCUAGGGUGAGCGCAGGUUAAUAACAGUUUACUAAUCAGCUGAUUAUUUCACCUGUGCUCCACUUCAGAAAUCCGGACAAUAUGGCCUGUUAGGGAGGUCUGAGGACAGGUUUGAUAACCCCUGGUGUAACUUGAUUAGAGAACUGAUAUUGGGAUGUUGUAAAAAAUGAGGGAAGGAUCAGAAAUAGGGAGAGUAGUGUGAUUGAGGUAAGAGUGGAAGGAAGAAAAAACAGCUUUCUGUAGUCUUGCAAUUAACCGAUCGACUGUAUGUGUAAAAUUCUGAAUACAUUUGUUUGCUGCAGUUGUAUUUCAGUAGGUCCCCGGGUGCCUUAUUUGGAGGAGCCAAUACAGACUUGUUUUCUGGAGUAGUGAAGACUAGCCACGGUUAUGUUUGUGAAACUUCUAUUUCUUGUAUCUUAUGUUAUCCCUUCUGUUAAUGCCCAUAUUACGCAGUGUGCAUUUCCAUUUCUCAGACUGGGAAAACCCACAAUUAAUAGAGUUGAGCAAACACUGCUACCAGAUGGCUAGAGGCAUGUGCACACUUCUGUGCUCAUCUUGGAUUAUUCUUUAACCCCUUUGUGCCAGGAUUAAAGUGAUGAUGUAAAUAUGAAAUCAUGCGAUCACGUGAUUUCAAGGUCUGGAUCGGAUCAUGGGGGGGAUCCCUACGCUUCUAGGCACGCCUCCCAUUCCGAUUACAGCUUGCGUAAAAGGGGGAGGCUGCAGGACGCCCCAUGCCGUUCUACGUCUUUUAGGCCCAGCACUGUUAGGGUGGCAUGGAACUUUCUAACUGUGUGAAGUGGUUAAUAAAGGAUGCCAAGAAAACUAAGCAAAAUUGAUAAAAUAAUUAAAUUGAAACUUUGUUUAAAAUUUAAAACUCUGUCCAGUCCAUUUGAUUUUACUGUCCCUUUAAAUUAAAGGAAAAGGAGUUACAGUAGCUAAAUAUAUUAUAUUCUGAUCUUUCAUAUCCCUUUAAGAGAUACUGGAUGUUGGAGACUAAGUCGUGUACAUUAUGUGCAGGUCUCUAGUCUUAUCUGUUAGAUAAGGCAGUCAAUCAGAGGCUCUAUCACCUGGGCUGCCUGUUUGAAUGGGUAAAGGAGACUGAGGAGAGAGCAGAUGUUUAAUGGUGCUCUAUAGACUGUACAGUAAAACCUCAAGCCGUGCUCUGUAGAAGAUUAAAAAACAAAAAAUGCUGGUGACAAUCUAGUAGCUUAAUCUACAUGAAACCCAAAGUUUUUCAUGAUUCACAUGGGAGUAUAACUUUUUUUUUUUUUUUUUUUUUUACACCCCCACACCCUUCACGUCAGUGACACCUUGUAUGUCGCACGAUCUUCCAGGACUGUAGGAGCCUGAUGCGUGCCGUUGGCGAUAAGCACUCUCCUACAGCCUUGGGGGUGCUACAGUUGGCCGGUGUACAAAGUACGUUGGCCAUUGUUAAGGGGUUAAAUAACUUACCAAUUUUUAUUACAUUCGCCUCAAUCAUUUGGUAUCCUUUCUUGAAGGAGCAGGAAUGCACUACUGGUAGCUAUUUGAACAAAUCAGGUGAGCAAAUGACAAGAGGUAUAUAUGUGCUGUCAGCAGCUAGCUCCCAGUACUGCACUACUGCUCUUGAGCCACCUUACGUAUGCUUUUUGACAACCGAUACCAAGAGAGAAGAAAAUUCUAUAACAGAAGAAUAUUGAAAAGUUGAUUCAAAUUGCAUGCUUUAUCUGAAUGAUGAAAGUUUAAUUUGGCUUCCCUGUCCCUUUUUAAUAUGGCUGAGUAAGAUGCGCCUGGGGAUAUGUGGGGCAUAGGGGAGCGUAAAAAUAAAAUCGUACUAAGGUGGGAAGGAGACUGGUUUUCUAAAGCCUCUUCAUGUAUUUGUGAUUUGAUCUUUGAAUAAUAAAAUAAUUUCUAUUUGCAUUA